rnacentral:rRNA from 1 species
GAUAAACGCUAGCGACAGGCCUAACACAUGCAAGUCGAGGGGCAGCACAUGAGUAGCAAUACGAUGGUGGCGACCGGCGCACGGGUGAGUAACACGUAUGCAACCUACCCAUAAGAGGGGAAUAACCCGGAGAAAUUCGGACUAACACCGCAUAAUACUGAAUAUUCGCAUGGAUUUUCAGUUAAAUAUUAAUAGCUUAUGGAUGGGCAUGCGUAUGAUUAGAUAGUUGGUAGGGUAACGGCCUACCAAGUCAACGAUCAUUAGGGGUUCUGAGAGGAAGGUCCCCCACAUUGGAACUGAGACACGGUCCAAACUCCUACGGGAGGCAGCAGUGAGGAAUAUUGGUCAAUGGGCGAGAGCCUGAACCAGCCAUGUCGCGUGAAGGAAGAAUGUCCUAUGGAUUGUAAACUUCUUUUAUACAGGAAUAAAGUGUACUACGUGUAGUAUUUUGUAUGUACUGUAUGAAUAAGGAUCGGCUAACUCCGUGCCAGC